AGUGAACGCUGGCGGUAGGCCUAACACAUGCGAGUCGAACGGCAGCACAGUAAGAGCUUGCUCUUACGGGUGGCGAGUGGCGGACGGGUGAGGAAUACAUCGGAAUCUACUUUUUCGUGGGGGAUAACGUAGGGAAACUUACGCUAAUACCGCAUACGACCUAUGGGUGAAAGCAGGGGAUCUUCGGACCUUGCGCGAUUGAAUGAGCCGAUGUCGGAUUAGCUAGUUGGCGGGGUAAAGGCCCACCAAGGCGACGAUCCGUAGCUGGUCUGAGAGGAUGAUCAGCCACACUGGAACUGAGACACGGUCCAGACUCCUACGGGAGGCAGCAGUGGGGAAUAUUGGACAAUGGGCGCAAGCCUGAUCCAGCCAUACCGCGUGGGUGAAGAAGGCCUUCGGGUUGUAAAGCCCUUUUGUUGGGAAAGAAAAGCAGCAGGUUAAUACCCCGCUGUUCUGACGGUACCCAAAGAAUAAGCACCGGCUAACUUCGUG
rnacentral:rRNA from 1 species